rnacentral:rRNA from 1 species
AAAAGCGGAGGAAAAGAAACCAACUGGGAUUACCUUAGUAACGGCGAGUGAAGCGGUAAAAGCUCAAAUUUGAAAUCUGGUACUUUCAGUGCCCGAGUUGUAAUUUGUAGAAUUUGUCUUUGAUUAGGUCCUUGUCUAUGUUCCUUGGAACAGGACGUCAUAGAGGGUGAGAAUCCCGUUUGGCGAGGAUACCUUUUCUCUGUAAGACUUUUUCGAAGAGUCGAGUUGUUUGGGAAUGCAGCUCAAAGUGGGUGGUAAAUUCCAUCUAAAGCUAAAUAUUGGCGAGAGACCGAUAGCGAACAAGUACAGUGAUGGAAAGAUGAAAAGAACUUUGAAAAGAGAGUGAAAAAGUACGUGAAAUUGUUGAAAGGGAAGGGCAUUUGAUCAGACAUGGUGUUUUUUGCAUGCACUCGCCUCUCGUGGGCUUGGGCCUCUCAAAAAUUUCACUGGGCCAACAUCAAUUCUGGCAGCAGGAUAAAUCAUUAAGAAUGUAGCUACUUCGGUAGUGUUAUAGCUUUUUGGAAUACUGUUAGCCGGGAUUGAGGACUGCGCUUCGGCAAGGAUGUUGGCAUAAUGGUUAAAUGCCGCCCGUCUUGA